GCAAGUCGAGGGGUAACAGGAGUGCUUGCACUCGCUGACGACCGGCUCACGGGUGGGUAACUCGUAUGGAACCUACCGUUUACAGAGGGAUGGCCUUUAGGAAAGAAUAUGAAUACUUCAUAGUAUUACAUAUUAACAUCGAUCAGUAAUUACAGAUCUAUCGGUAAAAGAUGGCUAUGCGUCUAUGAGCUAGAUGGUAAGGUAACGGCUUACCAUGGCAACGAUAGAUAGGGGGCCUGAGAGGAGGAUC
rnacentral:rRNA from 1 species